rnacentral:rRNA from 1 species
AACGAACGCUGGCGGCAGGCUUAACACAUGCAAGUCGAGCGCCCCGCAAGGGGAGCGGCAGACGGGUGAGUAACGCGUGGGAAUCUACCCAACCCUACGGAAUAACGCAUGGAAACGUGUGCUAAUACCGUAUACGCCCCACGGGGGAAAGAUUUAUCGGGGAUGGAUGAGCCCGCGUUGGAUUAGGUAGUUGGUGGGGUAAAGGCCUACCAAGGCGACGAUCCAUAGCUGGUCUGAGAGGAUGAUCAGCCACAUUGGGACUGAGACACGGCCCAAACUCCUACGGGAGGCAGCAGUGGGGAAUAUUGGACAAUGGGCGCAAGCCUGAUCCAGCCAUGCCGCGUGAGUGAUGAAGGCCCUAGGGUUGUAAAGCUCUUUCACCGAUGAAGAUAAUGACGGUAGUCGGAGAAGAAGCCCCGGCUAACUUCGUGCCAGCCGCCGCAGUAAUAC